GUUCGAUUCGGAGAGGGAGCCUGAGAGACGGCUACCACAUCCAAGGAAGGCAGCAGGCGCGCAAAUUACCCACUCUCAGUGCGAGGAGGUAGUGACGAAAAAUAACGAGACAGUCCUCUAUGAGGUCUGUCAUCGGAAUGGGUACAAUUUAAACCCUUUAACGAUGAUCUAUUGGAAGGGCAAGUCUGGUGCCAGCAGCCGCGGUAAUUCCAGCUCCAAAAGUAUAUACUAAAAUUGUUGCGGUUAAAAAGCUCGUAGUUGGAUUGUCGGCCAUGAAGACUGGUAGCCCUUUGGGUUUAACUAGUGCUUCUGGUCUAUUUGCUGGUCUUUCCUUGGUGCUCUUAACUGAGUGCCUUGGUUGGCUAGUGCAUUUACUUUGAAAAAAUUAGAGUGCUCAAAGUAGGCGUUUGCCUGAAUAGUGGUGCAUGGAAUAAUGGAAUAGGACCUCGGUUCUAUUUUGUUGGUUUACAGAGCUCGAGGUAAUGAUUAAGAGGGACAAACGGGGGCAUUCGUACUGCUACGUUAGAAGGUGAAAUUCUUGGAUCGUAACUAUGACGAACAACUGCGAAAGCAUUUGCCAAGAUGUUUUCAUUAAUCAAGAACGAAAGUCAGAGGUGCGAAGGCGAUCAGAUACCGCCGUAGUUCUGACCGUAAACGAUGCCAACUGGCAAUUGGGCGCGCUUCUAUAGAAGUUGCUGCCAGCAGUAUUGCCCGGGAAACCAAAGUCAUUGGGUUCCGGGGGGAGUAUGGUUGCAAAGCUGAAACUUAAAGGAAUUGACGGAAGGGCACCACCAGGAGUGGAGCCUGCGGCUUAAUUUGACUCAACACGGGAAACCUCACCCGGCCCGAACACUGUUAUGACAGACAGGUUGAGAGCUCUUUCUCCGAUUCAGUGGUUGGUGGUGCAUGGCCGUUCUUAGUUCGUGGAGCGAUGUGUCUGGUUAAUUCCGAUAACGAACGAGACUCUUGCCUGCUAAAUAGACGGCGCCGCCCUGUUCGGCGACCGUUCGCUUCUUAGAGGGACAAGCGGCUUUUAGCCGCGUGAAGCCGAGAGCAAUAACAGGUCUGUGAUGCCCUCAGAUGUUCGGGGCCGCACGCGCGCUACACUGUUUGCAUCAGCGUGUGACUCCCGCGCCGACUGGCGUGGGCAACCCGUUGAACCGCAAACGUGCUAGGGAUCGGAGAUUGCAAUUGUUCUCCGUGAACGAGGAAUUCCUUGUACUGGCGAGUCAUCAGCUCGCGGGGAAUCUGUCCCUGCCCUUUGUACACACCGCCCGUCGCUACUACCGAUUGAGUGGUUUAGUGAGGCUCACGGACUGCGCGCGGCACACGGCGCUCUCGGGCGUCGCGUCGCGAGGCGGAAAGUGAGACGAACUUGAUCACUUCUAGGAAGUAAAGUCGUAACAAGGUUUUCGUAGGUGAACCUGCGGAAGGAUC
rnacentral:rRNA from 1 species